ACUUUGGAUCAUUUUGAAAUUUUGAAAUGUGGCCAUCAGGACACCAUCACAAUCAUCAUCAUCAUUGCCAUCAGCCAAAUCAAAUGUAUGGGGUAUACCCUCAGGUUGUACCAGGCUAUGUCCCACCCCAACCUUACGGCCCACCUAUGGCCCCCCAAAUUGUAGGGUAUGGAGGGGUUUAUGGUCCUGGAUAUGAAAAUGGGUACAACGGAUAUGGCCACCAUGAACACGGGCACCAUGGACAUGGGCACCAUGAGCACCAUGGCCACCAUGGUCAUCAUGGCCACCAUGGCCACUAGCAUCAUCACCACCACAAACAUAAGCAGGGUCACAUGCACAACAAAUAUCACAGGACAGGAAAGCGUUGUCAUGGGCACUCCAGCAGCUCCUGCAGCAGCGACUCUGACUAGAUGAAGAUUCCUCGCCAUGAAGAGAAACAUGACAAGUUGCUACCUGGACGCCUUCUUCUUCCUACUUACAAUAAUCAGUUUAUUCACUCACCUACUUUUUAAAGCGUGUGUUUUAAAUACAACACACGGGUUUUAGGAAUCUUUCAGAGUCAUGUUUAAGUUAUGUGUUAAACCAUAUUACAUAUUAAAGUAGACAGAGCUGGACACAUACAGCUGCUGCUGUUUUGACAAGGACAUCAGCAGUAGUCAGUGUGUGACACUGUGUAUGCUUUUUAUAUACUGGACGCUGAUCAUAAUUGUUGUCUUGUAAU